rnacentral:rRNA from 1 species
ACGAACGCUGGCGGCGUGCUUAACACAUGCACGUCGAACGGAAAGGCCCUGCUUUUGUGGGGUGCUCGAGUGGCGAACGGGUGAGUAACACGUGAGUAACCUGCCCUUGACUUUGGGAUAACUUCAGGAAACUGGGGCUAAUACCGGAUAGGAGCUCCUGCUGCAUGGUGGGGGUUGGAAAGUUUCGGCGGUCGGGGAUGGACUCGCGGCUUAUCAGCUUGUUGGUGGGGUAGUGGCUUACCAAGGCUUUGACGGGUAGCCGGCCUGAGAGGGUGACCGGCCACAUUGGGACUGAGAUACGGCCCAGACUCCUACGGGAGGCAGCAGUGGGGAAUAUUGCACAAUGGGCGGAAGCCUGAUGCAGCAACGCCGCGUGCGGGAUGACGGCCUUCGGGUUGUAAACCGCUUUCGCCUGUGACGAAGCGUGAGUGACGGUAAUGGGUAAAGAAGCACCGGCUAACUACGUG